UACAGAGGUCUCAAGCGUUGUCCGGAAUUAUUGGGCGUAAAGAGCUCGUAGGCGGUCUGUCGCGUCGGCUGUGAAAACUCGAGGCUCAACCUCGGGCCUGCAGUGGAUACGGGCAGACUAGAGGUAGGUAGGGGAGAAUGGAAUUCCCGGUGUAGCGGUGAAAUUCGCAGAUAUUAGGAGGAAUACCAGUGGCGUAGGCGCCCAACUGGACAGGUAUUGACGCUGAGGUACGAAAGCGUGGGUAGCAAACAGG
rnacentral:rRNA from 1 species